UACGUAGGGUGCAAGCGUUAAUCGGAAUUACUGGGCGUAAAGCGUGUGCAGGCGGUCUUGUAAGUCUGUCGUGAAAGUCCCGGGCUUAACCUGGGAAUUGCGAUGGAGACUGCAAGGCUUGAAUCUGGCAGAGGGGGGUAGAAUUCCACGUGUAGCAGUGAAAUGCGUAGAGAUGUGGAGGAACACCGAUGGCGAAGGCAGCCCCCUGGGUCAAGACUGACGCUCAUGCACGAAAGCGUGGGGAGCAAACAGG
rnacentral:rRNA from 1 species